rnacentral:misc_RNA from 1 species
GUGUGUGUAUGUAUAUAUAUAUAUUUUUCAGAGAACUUGAGUACCAUUCCUUGUGUCUUUAUUAUCUUGUCCUUCAUUUUUCCCCUAGUAACAGCAUUCAACUGUCCUGAUAAAUUAUGAAUAGCAGACUUUCAUGUGUCAGUAGCUUAUGCCGCCUAAAACAGGGAAUUGUCUAUGAGAACUAUUGCCAGCUUAUAGAAAUCAUGGAGAUUUCUCCCUAACUAGCUUGGCAUGUAUGGUCUUUUUUUUUAACGGAGCCAUGUAUGGUCAUUGAUUAAAGAAAUCGAAAUUUAAACUGUUUACUAUGGUUAGUAAGCUAAACCAACUGAACUCCAGCUGUUUAUUAAUUUCUUCAGCUGUCAAUUUAUGGACCAAGUUAUGAAUACACGCAAAGACAUAGCUGUUUGUUAGAAUCUCAAAAGAUCCCCUGUUUCCACCGUCCAGCAUAUUCUGUAGCUGGAACUAUUGAGCUUGACAUGGUUCAAGUUGAGAAUCUACUGUUCUACUUAUUAGCAGGCUAGGCUGAAACCAAAACAUUAUCAAUUCUGAAAGUUGAAACUUCUAAAAGACUUGCUUAGCUCUCAUGUAGCAAUAUUUGAAGUUUUUAAAAACGUGUGUAUGAUAGCAACAGGUUGCAAAUUCAUGUCAAAGCUUUCGAAAACGUAAGCACACGCAAAUACGUGCACACACGCACAUACACACAUUAUCAUAUCUGCCUGCAUUUUACAUAGAUUCAAAAUCACAGAUUAAAAUUGAUUUACAAUGGUGAAUAUAUAUGUGCAUGUAUCACAAGAUUCAGAACAAGUAGGCAUGGGCUUUUGACGUGGAACCAACAAGAGAAACAAGGCCACCACCCAUGUGUUUUGUCAUUUCUUGGUAACUGUGAUGUCCAAGUAACAGGUUGCAGGACUGUGAGAACACCAGAAAUUCUAAUGGAAUUGGACAGAAGUACAGUUGUAGUUUUAAUGUUGCAGUCUAUAAGGCAAUGCAAUUUCCAAACUGUCAAAUCAUUGCUCCUUUGGCAAAAAACAAGUUGGCAGAAGAGAAAUAAAGAUAGAAUUUUCAACUGAAGUUGAAUUGAAUAUAUAGUUAUUCUUAUCAAAA